rnacentral:rRNA from 1 species
AGUGAACGCUGGCGGUAGGCCUAACACAUGCAAGUCGAACGGCAGCACAGUAAGAGCUUGCUCUUACGGGUGGCGAGUGGCGGACGGGUGAGGAAUACAUCGGAAUCUACUUUUUCGUGGGGGAUAACGUAGGGAAACUUACGCUAAUACCGCAUACGACCUACGGGUGAAAGCAGGGGAUCUUCGGACCUUGCGCGAUUGAAUGAGCCGAUGUCGGAUUAGCUAGUUGGCGGGGUAAAGGCCCACCAAGGCGACGAUCCGUAGCUGGUCUGAGAGGAUGAUCAGCCACACUGGAACUGAGACACGGUCCAGACUCCUACGGGAGGCAGCAGUAGGGAAUCUUCCGCAAUGGGCGAAAGCCUGACGGAGCAACGCCGCGUGAGUGAUGAAGGUCUUCGGAUCGUAAAACUCUGUUAUUAGGGAAGAACAAAUGUGUAAGUAACUAUGCACGUCUUGACGGUACCUAAUCAGAAAGCCACGGCUAACUACGUG